rnacentral:rRNA from 1 species
GUUGUAUGGUUAAGUGACUAAGCGUACACGGUGGAUGCCUUGGCAGUCAGAGGCGAUGAAGGACGUAUUAACUUGCGAUAAGCCCAGAUUAGGCAGUAAAAGCCACUUGAGUCUGGGAUUUCCGAAUGGGGAAACCCAACUGCAUAAGCAGUUACUGUUAACUGAAUACAUAGGUUAACAGGGCGAACCGGGGGAACUGAAACAUCUAAGUACCCCGAGGAAAAGAAAUCAACCGAGAUUCCGAAAGUAGCGGCGAGCGAAAUUGGACUAGCCCUUAAGCUUUACACGCGUUAGACGAACGGUCUGGAAAGUCCGACGAUACAGGGUGAUAGUCCCGUAGUUGACGACGUGUGUUCAGUGAAAUCGAGUAGGGCGGGACACGUGAUAUCCUGUCUGAAUAUGGGGGGACCAUCCUCCAGGGCUAAAUACUACUGAAUGACCGAUAGUGAACCAGUACCGUGAGGGAAAGGCGAAAAGAACCCCUGUGAGGGGAGUGAAAUAGAACCUGAAACCGUGUACGUACAAGCAGUAGGAGCAGGCUUUGUCCUGUGACUGCGUACCUUUUGUAUAAUGUGUCAGCGACUUAUAUUCAGUGGCAAGGUUAACCAUCUAGUGGAG